UACGAAGGGUGCAAGCGUUACUCGGAAUUACUGGGCGUAAAGGGUGCGUAGGUGGUUGUUUAAGUCUGCUGUGAAAGCCCCGGGCUCAACCUGGGAAUGGCAGUGGAUACUGGACAGCUAGAGUGCGGUAGAGGGUAGUGGAAUUCCCGGUGUAGCAGUGAAAUUCGUAGAUAUCGGGAGGAACACCAGUGGCGAAGGCGGCGACCUGGACGGACACUGACGCUGAGACGCGAAAGCGUGGGGAGCAAACAGG
rnacentral:rRNA from 1 species